rnacentral:rRNA from 1 species
UGGGGAAUAUUGGACAAUGGGCGCAAGCCUGAUCCAGCCAUGCCGCGUGAGUGAUGAAGGCCUUAGGGUUGUAAAGCUCUUUCGACGGGGACGAUAAUGACGGUACCCGUACAAGAAGCCCCGGCUAACUUCGUGCCAGCAGCCGCGGUAAUACGAAGGGGGCUAGCGUUGCUCGGAAUUACUGGGCGUAAAGGGCGCGUAGGCGGACUUUUAAGUCGGAGGUGAAAGCCUGGGGCUCAACCCCAGAAUUGCCUUCGAUACUGGAAGUCUUGAGACCGGUAGAGGUGAGUGGAACUGCGAGUGUAGAGGUGAAAUUCGUAGAUAUUCGCAAGAACACCAGUGGCGAAGGCGGCUCACUGGACCGGAUCUGACGCUGAGGCGCGAAAGCGUGGGGAGCAAACAGG